CUGGGCCGCUGCGUUCUGGAGGGGGGCAGAGUCCGCCCGGCCUGUGCAUCCGCACUCUCUUCGGCGAAUUUCGGCUUGGACGGGGCUGGAUUACUGAGGCGGCAGAUGCGACAGGCACAUGUUUAAACAUGCUGUUCAUCCGACGCUUGUUUACUUCAGUGGCUGGGCCAGGAACAGUAAGAGGCAUGAGGAUCACCCAGCGUGGAGACCGCUCUGGAGGAGGCUGCAGACUGGAGGCGCUGUUGUAGCCAGCUGCAUUUUGGAGGAGAAUCUACCAUAAAACCGACAGACUCUUCCUGAUCUCUACCUGUGCUGUCUGCCUCUCUAGCUCCGGACACUGAGAGCUGGUGCCCUGUGGCCACCGCAAGCUGGAACCCUGGAAGAUCACCAAGAAGACUGCACGCCUCGCUCUAGCCUUCCUAAGGGAAAGUAGACUCCUGUUUUUGAGAGAAAUUACCUGAUUUCAAGAGAAACAUAAAGGACUUUUUUUUCCUUAACAUUCCACUCGUAAAAAUGAAGUUUGGAAGAACUUCUGCAAACUCUGAGUGUUUUGGUCAAUUGACCUUUUACAGUACUAAGCAAAUCUGAAGCCACAAAUACACUGGGGAGGAAGGUAUACCCUUCACAAAAGAUUUGUCGCUUAGCCAGAUACUCUGUUGCCAUGCUUCUUUAAAUAAAGAACAUUUCUGGUA